rnacentral:lncRNA from 1 species
AAAUGCAGGAGUGAUACUGCACACCAAACAAGCCCGAACGUAAUCGCCUAAUUAAAUCAUUUUCAUCUAAUGAAUAUAAGCAACAAAAUAAACUGGCAUAGCAGCGAGUCAGGGAGUGAUUCCAGUGGAAGCAACUGCAGAGGUGGUGCGGCCGUGCCGGGACUUGCAGAGCUUUUCUGCUUAUUUUCAAGUGACGCCCGUGUUGGCACCUUAGCUCCAGGU